UUUUUUUAAUUUUUUUACAACAUAAAUUGUUGACAAAAACCUAAAUAAGCACGAUGAUGUCAUAGUCAUCCCGCCCCUACGUUUACCGUUUCAGUUAGCGAAGAUAAUCAAUCCAUAUAUCAGCCUUUAAUUCUAACAACUACAACUAAACUUUCAUCGGUACGUUUCAGAAGCUUCUCAGUUGAAUCCUAUAAAUAUACGUCCACAUAUAACACAAUCCCCAUCUCUUAGAGCUGCCAGAAUCAAGAAGUACUCAGCAGCAGAAGAACACGGAUUCUUUGACGAAAAUAGACAAAGUAUGUAAGAGACAUAAGAGAUCUGGAACACCCUUACUCCUUGGAGCAACUAAGUGUUCUGUCUGAAGACUCCAUCACUCUCGAUGACAAGCUUAAUCGCGUCCAGUGAGUAUUAUUAGUCCUCUGUUUAAUGAUCUCACUGUGUAGUCCCAAUGAUAGUGAGAAAAAAAAGUUUAAUUUUGGAUCCAAAAGUGUGAGGCUUUUUUUUUGUGUGUACAUGAUCUUUAAUGAUUUGUGAGUUUGUGGGUUUUGGUUAUGUGAUCAAUUCACGAUAACGUUUACACCGACCAUACGGAUUAUAUGGCAACUAUAUUUGGUAUGCGUUUGAGAACUAAGCUUAAAGAAUGCUUGCCUCUCCACUAUAAGGUUGAUAUCAGACUCAUGCCGAUGAACAUUCAGAUGCUUCGUGGAUUUUAUUUGGUUUGGAUAAUUGCCCAUGUGGCCUGUGAAUGCAUCCAUGCAGAUUGGAAUGUUUUUAUUUUAUUUUAAACAGUACAGAUCAGAGCAGAGGGUCUAAGGCUGAACAGACGUGUGGGGAUCGAAUACUUAGCAGUGUGGCUAACACGAUCAGGAUCUGUCCCACGCUAUAACCUGAUGGAAGAUGCGGCUCCAGCUGAGAUAAGUCGUGUCCAGAACUGGCAAUGGAUUAGGUAUGAAGUGGAGUUGGACGGAGAUGGGCUUGGAGUCAGGGUGAACAAAGAGUUGUUUGAGAGAGUUGUGGAAGAAGAGAUGGAAAGAAUCGAGAAAGAAGUUGGUAAAGAUAAGUUUAAGAAAGGAAUGUAUAAGGACAACUGCAAGAAGUUUACAAAGCAAUGUACUGCAAGUGAGCUUGAUGAUUUUCUUACACUUGCUGUUUAUGAUCAUAUUGUAGCUCACUACCCAAACAAUGUGUCAAGGCCCUGAGAGAAGAAAAGAAGAUGUUGGGAGAGAGAGUUUGAGAUAUGAGUGUUGUACUUUUGUCUUCUAUGUUUGUUUCUCAUUUGCUUUUUUUCUAUAUGUCUGUAUAUUGGAUGAACUUGAUGUUUUUAUCUCCAAUAUGAAAUAAAUGUUUCUAUAACA